AAUAAGAAUGAGAUAGUGGGAGAGAGAAAUGUGGUGAAAGAAUGAAUAAAAACUAAUCCAUAAUCCAUAAUAUAUAGAAACAGGAAUAGUUCAGGGUCCCACUAUUCCAGGUGGCAUUUUACUACCCAUUCUUCAUCAUAAUCCACGUGGCAUUUUCAUAGCAUUUUCUAAUUUCUUUUUUUCUCUUUGCUCAAACUAUCCUGUCUCUCCUUCAAACGAUAUCAGGCUUUUCUCUCUCUUUCUCCCAAACUCCACUUUUUUUUUCUCCUUCAACCGCAAUCUCAACAAUCUGAGAGAAAAAGCAGAUCCCGAUAAAAUCCAUCUCUUCUCAACAUUCAUCGUGCUAUCAAUGAAUCACUCGAUUCUUAUCAGGAGCCCCAAAUCUAUUCGGCACGCGAUUCAAUCAAUGACGAACUGGGAGAUCACGCGAUUCUGGUUACACAUCUCCUACCCGUGUCUCCAAGCACGCGAAUCUGCGUUUUUUACUGCAGUAAUCUCCCAUUUCACCAUGCAUAGCGUCGUGUUCUUCCAAUCGUCGUUUUGUUCACCCAUGUCCAGAUCUUCAAAUGCUUGCUGGAUGAAGACACUCAGUAAAUUGGAUCCAUUGACGUUAGGGACACAAUGAGACUAUUGUUCAUAUGAUCGAAAAGAAAGAGAUAUUGUGGAAGAGGAAUCUAGCAAGGCAGUGGCUUGCUGAUCUGGCUUAUGGAAUGUUUGUUGUUUCAUUAUCUUCAAUGCAGAAUGUUGCUCUCUCUGUUUGUUGUGGUCACUGCCAGUUUUCCUGUAUAAAAAAAUUUCUGGAAGUGGAAAGGAAAGCGGAUAAAAAAGAAAUGCUCAGUUGCUUCAAGAAUCUGAAGAUUGUGGUGAUGAAGAUGACAUGAACUUUGAUAAACAGUAUCAGCUUCUCUGAAGUGUCUUGAUCGAGAGGAGAUUGGAAAUGGUUGUAAAAAAUGUAAUCGCAGAAGAUAUAAAAUAAAGGACAUGUUCAAGAAAUUUGGGAGGGAUCAAAUCUAAGAGAAGAGAAAGAAAAACAAAUGCAAGGAGAAUGGCGAGUGGACACUUACAACUAUGAGCAAAUUGGUGUCUAUGUUCUAUAUUUUUAUGUAUUCGCAGCUUGAUGAGACACUCAAUGAGGUUGGAUUUGUUAGACGAUGCUUCAUGGUCCCACAAAAGGAUAUUAACUGAUGAAAAUGAAAAUUUGCACC